rnacentral:rRNA from 1 species
GGAAGUAAAAGUCGUAACAAGGUUUCCGUAGGUGAACCUGCGGAAGGAUCAUUAACGAUUGCUUAACACGCAAAACAAACAAGGACGACGUAUGGUUAAAAAGCUAAAAACUCCUGACGAGUUCAGGAAGGAUGAUGCCUCUCUUUCUUUCUCUGGCUCUAGCUAGCGAAGAUCGAGAAAUGGCCAUCGUGGUCGUUGUGCGUCUGCACUGCGAACGAUGUAAAACAAACAACCGAUGGCCUCUCAUACAGUAUAAUAUCUCUCGCCAUGGCAUACAGGCCUGGCAUCUGGUACGAGUCUCUCGCAGUCUCAAAACCAACCUUACAACUCUGAGCGGUGGAUCACUUGGCUUGUGGAUGCUAUGAAGACCAUAGCUAAGUGUGAGAAUGGCAGCGAGCCGUCGCUAUAUGCGCUGUCCUCUUCUUAUCACAUGUCGAAUGCACAUUGCGCCCCACCCAGCGGUCGGCUAACCUCCUGCAGACAAAAGCCUGUGUGUUGGAACAAAGGCGGUGUGUGGCCCUCGAGCAACGGCGGGGGAGCCAGGAGCACAUUAGCGUGCGGACCAACCACUCGUUAGUAGUCAGGCUGAACCCUAUGGUGGGGCACUCCUAGUGGAGUGUGGUGGAUCGGGCUCUUCUCUUAUUGCGCUUUUGCGCGAAAAGCAGUUUGAGUUUUUUUGUUGCUGGUUGCAUUUGGGUCGACAUCAGUCGUGCCCGCAAACAACUGCCUUGGCUCGUGCCUCUGUGCGUUCGGUUUUACCUCAAGCAGGUGCGUACAUUGAAGGCCAACGCUGGCGAUCCCUCGUGCGGCCAGGGCACUACCUUCGCGGUAGUGCGCAGAGGUCCAAAAGGAAAAUCGUAAUACGAGAGUCGGGUCUCUGGUGCUCUGUCUCGCUCACGCAAAGUGAGUGGUUUGGUGAUUCGGUGUCCCUGCGUAUACGCUUGUCUGGUAAAGGUUCGUCUCUCGUACUAUUCGAGAAUGACGCUAACCUCACCUCUUUUUCUUGUUUCGCACGCAUGCUUUCAGACGAACAAACGCCUGACGAGUUCAGGACGGAUUUUCUAACAGUGUGAAGAAAAAGUAACAGAUCGGCCUGCAGCAUCGCGCCACUCCACGUUUGUAGCUUUGUGUGCAUGCGCAGGAAUGAGAGAGACCCCGGCUGCUCGUGUCUGUAAAAUCCACCACCUCGACUUAGGAGAGGUUACCCGCUGAACUUAAGCAUAUCAGUAAGCGGAGGAAAAGAAACCAAUCAGGGAUUCCCUUAGUAGGGGCGACCGAAAAGGGAUGAGCCCAGCGCAGAACCUCCCGGGCCACCCGGCCUGCGGCGGAAUGUUGCGUUAAGGGAAAGGUCGUAGUCAAACCCCACAGCCACGCGAGCACUAAGUAAGUCACGAAUUGGCUAUCCCAACUAACGGCGGGAAAAUCUCCACGGAGGGUGUAAGACCCGUGUGGGCGCGUGUAAAUGCUGUGUGGGCUCGGCCUCUUUUCCCUGAGAGUCGCGUUGCUUGAGCAUGCAGCGCUAAGCAGGUCGUAAACUCGAUCUAAGGCUAAAUAUGUCCACAAGACCGAUAGCGAACAAGUACCGUGAGGGAAAGUGAAAAGCACUCUGAAGAGAGA